UACGAAGGGGGCUAGCGUUGCUCGGAAUGACUGGGCGUAAAGGGCGCGUAGGCGGCUCAUACAGUCAGGCGUGAAAUUCCUGGGCUCAACCUGGGGGCUGCGCUUGAUACGGGUGUGCUUGAGGAUGGAAGAGGCUCGCGGAAUUCCCAGUGUAGAGGUGAAAUUCGUAGAUAUUGGGAAGAACACCCGUGGCGAAGGCGGCACUCUGGACGGUACUGACGCUGAGGAGCGAAAGCGUGGGGAGCGAACAGG
rnacentral:rRNA from 1 species